rnacentral:sRNA from 1 species
ACCAUUGAAUGUGAGGGGGCGGCAUUUCAGGAAGAGUUCAUGGGGGCAAAUCCUCUGCCACAUAAAGUUCUAUCACAACUAAAGAUGGGGAUAUAAUAAAUGGUGGCACGAGUCCCUUGGAGAUGUUCAAGAAAAGCCUCAGGUCUGUAUCCAGACACUAUUUCCUUCACAGCAUUCCCCCCCCCCAAACCAGAGAGAUCUCCACCCCAGCGCCUGCUCCCACCAGGCAGCAAGGUGCUUUGUGAUGUCAAAGCAGCUCCUCCACCACUAUUAGCAGAGAAGGGUCUUUCUGACCAAUCAGGACUCAGGGGUGUGGCCUCCCAUUGUUGAGGGUAGGUUCAUAAGACCGUGCCUCUGAGAGCUCUGGACCAGAACCACCCUAGCCUUCAACAUGGCGAAAGCAACGAAGAAAUCAAAGAACACUACAUCAGAUGUCGAGUCAUCAACUUCAAGAGGGAAAUCCAAGAAAACUAAGAGUUACCGUCAACCCACAACGUGCUGUUCCCAAUGUAGUGGAAAGGUGCAAAAGAUGAAAAAGAAGGCGCAGAAAAUACAGCCAAGAAUCCACAAAACCAAGGCUUCAAAGAAAACUGUACCACCUACAAAGAAGAGUAAACGGGUCAAAGGUGAAGCACUAUUAAGACACUACCACCGUUCAAUGGAUGAAAUGACCGCUAGCACUGAAACAGAACCAGAGCCGAGCAGUUCAGACAGCUCCAC